rnacentral:rRNA from 1 species
CACGUAGGGCGCAAGCGUUGUCCGGAAUUAUUGGGCGUAAAGAGCUCGUAGGUGGUUUGUUACGUCUGCUGUGAAAACCUAGGGCUUAACCCUGGGCUUGCAGUGGAUACGGGCAGACUAGAGGUAGGUAGGGGAGAAUGGAAUUCCUGGUGUAGCGGUGAAAUGCGCAGAUAUCAGGAGGAACACCGGUGGCGAAGGCGGUUCUCUGGGCCUUAACCUGACACUGAGGAGCGAAAAGCGUUGGGGGAGCGAACAGG